UCAGGCCUAACACAUGCAAGUCGAGGGGUAGAACAUUUCGGUGUUUGAGACCGGCGCACGGGUGCGUAACGCGUAUGCAACCUACCUUUUACAGGGGAAUAGCCCAGAGAAAUUUGGAUUAAUGCCCCAUGGUAUAUUUAGAUGGCAUCAUCUGAUUAUUAAAGUUCCAACGGUAAAAGAUGGGCAUGCGUCCUAUUAGCUAGAUGGUAAGGUAACGGCUUACCAUGGCAACGAUAGGUAGGGGUCCUGAGAGGGAGAUCCCCCACACUGGUACUGAGACACGGACCAGACUCCUACGGGAGGCAGCAGUGAGGAAUAUUGGACAAUGGGCGCAAGCCUGAUAGAGCCAUGCCGCGUGCAGGAAGAAGCAUCUAUGGUGUAAGAGUGCUUUUGUACGGGAAGAAGCACUCCUACGGUAGGAGCUGACGU
rnacentral:rRNA from 1 species